AACGAACGCUGGCGGCAGGCCUAACACAUGCAAGUCGAGCGAGGACUUCGGUUCUAGCGGCGGACGGGUGAGUAACGCGUGGGAAUGUGCCCUUCUCUACGGAAUAGCCCUGGGAAACUGGGAGUAAUACCGUAUACGCCCUAUUGGGGAAAGAUUUAUCGGAGAAGGAUCAGCCCGCGUUGGAUUAGGUAGUUGGUGGGGUAAUGGCCUACCAAGCCGACGAUCCAUAGCUGGUUUGAGGGGAUGAUCAGCCACACUGGGACUGAGACACGGCCCAGACUCCUACGGGAGGCAGCAGUGGGGAAUCUUAGACAAUGGGGGCAACCCUGAUCUAGCCAUGCCGCGUGAGUGAUGAAGGCCUUAGGGUUGUAAAGCUCUUUCAGCUGGGAAGAUAAUGACGGUACCAGCAGAAGAAGCCCCGGCUAACUCCGUG
rnacentral:rRNA from 1 species